rnacentral:rRNA from 1 species
UACGAAGGGGACUAGCGUUGUUCGGAAUCACUGGGCGUAAAGCGCACGUAGGUGGAUUUGUAAGUCAGGGGUGAAAUCCCGGGGCUCAACCUCGGAACUGCCUUUGAUACUGCAAGUCUUGAGUCCGAUAGAGGUGGGUGGAAUUCCUAGUGUAGAGGUGAAAAUUCGUAGAUAUUAGGAAGAACACCGGUGGCGAAGGCGGCCCACUGGAUCGGUACUGACACUGAGGUGCGAAAGCGU